GACCUCAUGGACGGGAUGUUGUGU
rnacentral:siRNA from 1 species